AUUGAACGCUGGCGGCAAGCCUAACACAUGCAAGUCGAACGAGUGGCGGACGGGUGAGUAAUGUCUGGGAAACUGCCUGUUUGAGGGGGCUAACUACUGGAAACGGUAGCUAAUACCGCAUACCAUCGGAUGUGCCCAUAUGGGAUUAGCUAGUAGGUGGGGUAAAGGCUCACCUAGGCGACGUUCCCUAGCUGGUCUGAGAGGAUGACAAGACAAGCGGGAACUGAGACACGGUCCAGACUCCUACGGGAGGCAGGAUUGGGGAAUAUUGAACAAUGGGCGCAAGACUGAUACAGCCAUGCCGCGUGGAUGAAGAAGGCCUUCGGGUUGUAAAGUACUUUCAGCGGGGAGGAGUUACCCGCAGAAGAAGCACCGGCUAACUCCGUGCCAGCAGCCGCGGUAAUUA
rnacentral:rRNA from 1 species